UGCUUAUUCACUUCACUAAUCUCUAAAGAUUUCAUCUUUUUUUUUGGCUUUUCACUCUUUUUUUAACAGUUUCCAUACCAUUCCUUUCUUAUUCUGUCAACUGGAUCAACCAUCAUCAUCAUCAGCAUCUCUGAAUUCUAUAAGAUUUCACUAAUUUUGAGUUUUUGACUUGUUUGCUUCUUCAGGUACUUUCUUAACCUCAAGACCUACACCCCUUUUGUCCUUUUUUUCUCAAUUUUUGUUUGAUUUUCCUUUUUGGGUGUUGGUUAUAACAUUCAAUUUGUUAUAAAGUUUUGAGCUUUUUUACUUGGGUUUUUGUGGGACUG
rnacentral:misc_RNA from 1 species